UACGUAGGGGGCUAGCGUUGUCCGGAAUCAUUGGGCGUAAAGAGCGUGUAGGCGGCCCGGUAAGUCCGCUGUAAAAGUCAAAGGCUCAACCUUUGAAUGUCAGUGGAUACUGCCGGGCUAGAGUCCGGAAGAGGCGAGUGGAACUCCUGGUGUAGCGGUGGAAUGCGCAGAUAUCAGGAAGAACACCAACGGCGAAGGCAGCUCGCUGGGACGGUACUGACGCUGAGGUGCGAAAGCGUGGGGAGCGAACAGG
rnacentral:rRNA from 1 species